UGGUCUAGCCAUGCGAGUCAUUGUAGCAUACAAGGCGGACGGCUCAGUAACACGUAGUCAACCUAACCCAUGGACGUGGAUAACCUCGGGAAACUGAGAAUAAACCGCGAUAGAUCAUUAUGCCUGGAACGGCUUAUGGUCCAAACAAUUUAUUGCCGUAGGAUGGGACUGCGGCCUAUCAGCUUGUUGGUGAGGUAAUGGCCCACCAAGGCUAUUACAGGUACGGGCUCUGAGAGGAGAAGCCCGGAGAUGGGUACUGAGACACGGACCCAGGCCCUAUGGGGCGCAGCAGGCGAGAAACCUUAGCAAUGUGCGAAAGCACGACUGGGUCAAUCCGAGUGAUUCCUGAUGAAGGAAAUCUUUUGUCAGUCCGUAAAAGCACAGGAUGAAUAAGGGGUGGGCAAGUCUGGUGUCAGCCGCCGCGGUAAUACCAGCACCUCGAGUGUCAGGACGGUUUAUUGGGCCUAAAGCAUCCGUAGCCGGCUUUGCAAGUCUCCGGUUAAAUCCAGCUGCUCAACAGAUGGGCUGCCGGAGAUACUACAUGGCUAGGGAGCGGGAGAAGUAGACGGUAUCGUGGGUAGGGGUAAAUCCACUGAUCCAUCGAGGACACCAGUGGCGAGGCGGUCUACAGAAGGUCACGUGAAGGAUGAAGCUGGGACAACCGAUAGAUACCGGUAGUCACGUACCAUGCAACUCGUGAUGCAU
rnacentral:rRNA from 1 species